GAUGAACGCUAGCGACAGGCCUAACACAUGCAAGUCGAGGGGCAGCACAUGAGUAGCAAUACGAUGGUGGCGACCGGCGCACGGGUGAGUAACACGUAUGCAACCUGCCUGUAAGAGGGGAAUAACCCGGAGAAAUUCGGACUAAUACCGCAUAAUACCACGAGACUGCAUGGUUUUGUGGUUAAACAUUUAUGGCUUACAGAUGGGCAUGCGUAUGAUUAGAUAGUUGGUAGGGUAACGGCCUACCAAGUCUACGAUCAUUAGGGGUUCUGAGAGGAAGGUCCCCCACACUGGUACUGAGACACGGACCAGACUCCUACGGGAGGCAGCAGUGAGGAAUAUUGGUCAAUGGGCGAGAGCCUGAACCAGCCAAGUCGCGUGAAGGAAGAAGGUUCUAUGGAUUGUAAACUUCUUUUGCAGGGGAAUAAAGGACGGUACGUGUACUGUUUUGUAUGUACCUUGCGAAUAGGAUCGGCUAAUCCGUGCCAGCAGCCGCGGUAAA
rnacentral:rRNA from 1 species